rnacentral:rRNA from 1 species
CCUACGGGGGGCUGCAGUGGGGAAUAUUGCACAAUGGGGGAAACCCUGCUGCAGCGACGCCGCGUGAGUGAAGAAGUAAUUCGUUAUGUAAAGCUCUAUCAGCAGGGAAGAAAAUGACGGUACCUGAGUAAGAAGCCCCGGCUAACUACGUGCCAGCAGCCGCGGUAAUACGUAGGGGGCAAGCGUGAUCCGGAUUUACUGGGUGUAAAGGGAGCGUAGACGGCAGUGUAAGUCUGGAGUGAAAGGCGGGGGCGCAACCCCCGGACUGCUCUGGAAACUGUACGGCUGGAGUGCAGGAGAGGUAAGUGGAAUUCCUAGUGUAGCGGUGAAAUGCGUAGAUAUUAGGAGGAACACCAGUGGCGAAGGCGGCUUACUGGACUGUAACUGACGUUGAGGCUCGAAAGCGUGGGGAGCAAACAGGAUUAAAUACCCCUGUAGAC